rnacentral:rRNA from 1 species
GACGAACCGUGCAAACGUUGUUCGGAAUCACUGGGCUUAAAGGGCGCGUAGGCGGGCUGUCAAGUCUGGGGUGAAAUCCCACGGCUCAACCGUGGAACUGCCUUAGAUACUGACGGCCUCGAGGGAGAUAGGGGCGAGCGGAACUGUGAGUGGAGCGGUGAAAUGCGUUGAUAUUCACAGGAACUCCGGUGGCGAAGGCGGCUCGCUGGAUCUUUUCUGACGCUGAGGCGCGAAAGCUAGGGGAGCAAACGGG